ACCCAACGUCUGGCCACUUAACGUGUCCCCUCAGCCUCUCGGCUGUGGUGCCCUCGCUCGUACACGGGCCCGGGCGGCACCGCCCGCUGCGGGCCCCGGCGCGACUGCCAUCGCGUACAGGCUUGUGGCGCCCGCCGCUGGCGGACCGGCUUCCGCGCGCCCCCGGCCUUCCUCCUCCGGGCGUGGGAAAUGGAAGGGCGGCUGGCUGUGGCUUUGGCCUGCGACCCUUCCGCGGUGGGACGGUAGCGGCCACCACCAGCCAGAGAUCUGGAUAGAAGGACCCGGUCACCACGUGGCAGCGAUGCUCGGCGACGUACACCAUACUCUGGCACCAGUUCCUCGCCGAAACGCCGGGAGAGGCUGAUUAGUGCACGGUGUUACUCCUUAAUCUGUAGUAACGCCUAACGACUUUUAUCCUCAGGACUGGGACGUGCACUCCCGCAACCUUACUAGCCUGCUCCUACGUGAAGCGAUUGUACGGCUACCCCUUGGCCCCAUGCGCUCGGUUUUUAGAAAAGCCAUCAUUUACAUCUCAAAACUGAAAAGGAAAAAGUGGCGUUAAAAUUAGGCCUUUUUGCAAAACUUUAGGUACAGGCUAACCAUAUAAUUAGGAAAACUAGGGUUUUGAAAAAUGAGUUGAAGAGAGAAAGAAGCUCUUUUUCUACCAGUUGUAGUUUAAUUUUAGUAGCUUCCUUUUAAGAACAUUGUUCGGUAGGGUCAGACAAUAAUCUUAAAUUGAACAGCACGGGCUUCGAUUUUGCUCUAAAACCGCGCAGACACAAGACUAAAAAUCCUGCUAAAGAUGGAGACAGUACAGUACGUGGGGAGCUUCCGUGUUAAGACAGCAAACCCUACUUUUAAAAUGAAGCCACGACACACUUAAAUGCGGAACGCAGUUUCUGCGGGUGCAGUUUUCUCACCGGAACGGGAGCAGGCGCCAGCCUUCGCUACUACGCAGGCGCAGUGUCACUUACCCGGCAUGGGAGAGGUGGUCCUGUUGUGGGUCACUGCAGCGGUGCUGAUAUGGGCCUUUCUUCGGGUUUGGGACUCCUCAGAACGAAAAAGAACUCAGGAGCAAGCUGGUCUGCCGGGAGCUGGAAGCCGGACCCUCUUGGUGAUUGCACACCCAGACGAUGAGGCUAUGUUCUUUGCUCCCACCGUGCUAGGUUUGGGCCGCCUAAAGCACCGGAUGUCCCUGCUCUGCUUCUCUGCAGGAAAUUACUACAAUCAAGGAGAGAUUCGUAAGAAAGAACUUUUGCAGAGCUGUGAUGUUUUGGGGAUUCCACCCUCCUGUGUAAUGAUUAUUGACAACAGGGACUUCCCAGAUGACCCAGGAGUGCAGUGGGACACAGAGCAUGUGGCCAGCGUCCUCCUCCAGCACAUAGAGGUCAACCGCAUCAAUCUGGUGGUGACUUUCGACGCGGGGGGAGUCAGCGGUCACAGCAAUCAUAUUGCUCUGCAUGCAGCCGUGAGGGCCCUGCACUCAGAAGGAAGGUUCCCUAAAGGGUGUUCUGUGCUGACGCUGCAGUCUGUGAACGUGCUACGCAAAUACCUCUCCCUCCUGGACCUGCCCUGGUCUCUGCUGCGCCCGCCGGACGUCCUCUUCGUGCUCACCAGUGAGGAAGUGGCACGCGCCAAGGUGAAGGAGACCCUUCCUGGCUCCACGCUCUGAGCUGCAAGUUUGGGUCUCCUGUCCUGCAAAGCCUCUAGACAGCAAACCUCUACCCAGGCAGCAGGUCCUGCGUUUGCACUCCAAAGCCAUGUUCUGCCACCAUAGCCAGCUCCUGUGGUUCCGCCGCCUCUACAUUCUUUUCUCCAGAUACAUGAGAAUCAACUCACUGCACUUCCUCUCAAGCCUUGAAGAGUUUUCAGAUCUGAGGAGCAAAAGAGAGAAAUAGACCGGGAAACCCAGAGACCUGGCCCGAAGCUGGUUUAACUCCCUGAGCCAAAGGAAAUCACAGCCAGAGAGCUUCUGUGAAAGCCAGGCCAUGAGGCCAAUAUGCUACCCAAACUUCCUAAGGCUUCUUCUUCCGGGGGGAAGACCCCGAAAGAACAAAAACAAACCAGCUUCCGGAUCAUCGUAGCUACCUGCUAGCUUUUCACGUCUUUGGAAAAACAUUCUGCAUGAUGACACAGUGUGUGUCAAACACCUGGCCCAGAGCUUAGACAGGCUCUUACCACAAAUGAAUGUAAAAGUGCUCUAAAAACACUUCACAGAUAUGAUUUGCACAUUGAUUCCGGAGCAGAGCAUCUUGGUUCAUUUUCUGUUGCUAUACCUGAAUACCACGAACUCAGUAAUUUAUGAAAAAUAAGAGGUUUAUGUAGCUCAUGAUUCUGGAGGCUGGGACAUCCAAAGCAUGGUGCUAACAUCUGCUUGGCAUAUGGUGAGGGGUUUUUCACUGCAUCCUCACAAGGCAGAGGAUGUAACAUGGAGCGAGACAGAGCAAGCACGCAAGUACUCAGUUUUACAACAGAGUCACUCCCACAAUGACCCAUUAACCCCCUAAUCCAUGAAUGGCCUUUACCUCCCAAAGGGUCUCACCUUGCAAGUCAGAUGCACUGGGGACCGUGUCUCUAACUUGGCUUUGAGGGGCCACACCCAAGCCAUAUAUAUAGGCUCACAUAUGCACACACGUACACAUGCUAUAGUCCAAAAAGAAGAAGGAAAAAAUACCACUACUUAUUGAAUUAGCUCAACCAUAAUUCCUUAGAUUUUUCUUUGUGCACUACUUGCUAGAACGCGAAUCUAAGGAAACCGUGCUGUGUUUAACAUGACUUACACUGAUUGAAGCUCCCGAGUGCCUUUCACAUGAAGACCUUGCCCUGGAAGAGCUUACAAGUGACAAUCUCAGAUCUUAAGCUUUUUUUUUUUUUUUUAUUGGUACCGAGGAUCGAGCUCACGACUGCCUGCUUGCAAGGCAGGUGCUUAUGCCUCUGAGCUAAAUCCCCAGCCCCCAGAUCUUAAGCUUUUAGGAAAACGUAAGUCUAGAAGUUGUUUUUAAUUUAUUACUUUUCAAAUUACUUAUUUAUUUAUUUGCAGAACUGGGGAUUGAACUCAUAGUCUUCAUACUGAACAACUUAGAACACCCUGCCCACCAACCCCCCUUUUUCUUUAAUUUUUGACACAGGAUCUCUCUAAGUUGCUAAGUUGCUCAGGUCAGGCUUGAACAUGUGAUCCUCUUGCCUCAGCCUCCCAGAGUGCUGAGAUUACAUGAAAUUUGUUUUGAAAAAAUGUAAGGAUCUAAAUGUCUUCAAAUUGCCCUACAAAGAAAAGCUGAGAAUUCUGGCUUGGCAGCUACUUCCUGAGGUGGGAAAGCUCAGUUGUGAGGAAACCUACUGGCGACCCUGGGCUAGAAGCUAGAAUCCCGGGCAACGUAAUUACAGGCGAGGCACCGAACUCUCCUCUGCCUCGAUCUUUCAUCUGCAAAAUGGUGACUAUUAAUGGUCCAACCUUAGAACUCACCAAGAAGACGCUGCAUUAAGAGGCAAUAGCAGGAUAUGGCUCACAGAAACAAAGACCAGCUGCUACUGCUGUGUUCUUCUGAGAGAGCAUAAAUACAGUCUCGAGCUCUAAGCAGAGGGACUGGCAUGUCCAAUCUCUCUGAGAACAGUUUGGUGAUUUCUAGAAAACAUACUUAUACUUUGACCCAGCAUUUCCAUUAAACUAAUUUACACUAUAGAUUUACUCCACAUCCUCAAGAAGUAUGUCAACUGCAGACAUUAAAACACCCAUUCUAAUAGUAAAUUAUCGACACGGUCAAAAUGUCCCCCAAUUAACAGUUGGUGAAAUUAAUUGUGAGUGUGUUUUGUUUUAGUAAGGUGGUACAUCAAUAUGGAAAGAUUUAUAAAUCUUUUUGGUUAUAAAACCAAAAUGCACGACAGUGUUAGAUAAUGCAGCCAUUCGGGAGGGGGGAAAGUAUGUUUCUAUGCACGCUACAUGCCUAUCAAUGUAAAAGUGAUCCCAGUAAUUGCUUGUCUUUGAAGAAAAGAAUUGGGAAAGAGGGAAGGAAUUUAUACCUUUUGAAUUUUGUACAAUUUGCAUGUAUUGCUACCUAUUCAAAAAUAUCUUCAAAUCUUAGAGGUUAGAAAGUUACAUAGAAAGCCAGGCAUGGUGGCAAUAAUCCCAGCAUUUAAGAGGCUGAGGCAGGAGGAUUGCUAGGAGUUUGAAGCCACCCUGGCCUGCACAGUGAGCUCAAGAUCAGCCUGGAGUGUGUAGUGAGACCCUGUCUCAAAAAAGCAAAACAAACCAAAGAAAGGUGUAUAGAAUUACACUGCUCCUGGUUGGUGAGAAUUGAAACUUAUUUUCUGCCUUGUACUUUUGUUUUAUUGUACAUUCCAAAUUUUUAAAAUAAAUUAAAAUCUAGAAAGGAAA